UUUUUCUUUUUCUUUUUUUGUUAAAAAUGUAUGACUCUAUAACUUUUAGACAGUGAGGCAAAACUUCGCAUGUGAUA
rnacentral:sRNA from 1 species